GACGAACCGCCCGAACGUUGUUCGGAAUCACUGGGCUUAAAGGGAGCGUAGGCGGGCUGCCAAGUCCGGGGUGAAAUCCUCCAGCUUAACUGGAGAACUGCCUCGGAUACUGGAAGUCUCGAGGAGGGUAGGGGCAAGUGGAACCGUGGGUGGAGCGGUGAAAUGCGUUGAUAUCCAUGGGAACUCCGGUGGCGAAGGCGACUUGCUGGACCAUUUCUGACGCUGAGGCUCGAAAGCCAGGGGAGCAAACGGG
rnacentral:rRNA from 1 species